rnacentral:rRNA from 1 species
AAAAUCCGGCGCACAUAUACCGAGGCCAACGAUCGAGCCAGCUUGCUGGUGAAGUGACUGAACGAGGUUCCAGGAAAAGCCACUAAGCUUCAGCUACACACGACCGUACCGCAAACCGACACUGGUGCGCGAGAUGAGUAUUCUAAGGCGCUUGAGAGAACUCAGGAGAAGGAACUCGGCAAAUUGACACCGUAACUUCGGAAGAAGGUGUGCCCUAUUAGUGUGAAGUGAACAACGGAGCAUGAAUGGGUUGCAAAAAAUCGGUGGCUGCGACUGUUUAUUAAAAACACAGCACUCUGCAAACACGAAAGUGGACGUAUAGGGUGUGACGCCUGCCCGGUGCUGGAAGAUUAAAUGAUGGGGUGCAAGCUCUUGAUUGAAGUCCCAGUAAACGGCGGCCGUAACGAUAACGGUCCUAAGGUAGCGAAAUUCCUUGUCGGGUAAGUUCCGACCUGCACGAAUGGCGUAACGAUGGCCACACUGUCUCCUCCUGAGACUCAGCGAAGUUGAAAUGUUUGUGAUGAUGCAAUCUCCCCGCGGAAAGACGGAAAGACCCCAUGAACCUUUACUGUAGCUUUGUAUUGGACUUUGAACAGAUCUGUGUAGGAUAGGUGGGAGGCUUUGAAGCAGGGUCGCUAGAUCUUGUGGAGCCAACGUUGAAAUACCACCCUGGUGUGUUUGAGGUUCUAACCUAGGUCCAUUAUCUGGAUCGGGGACAGUGCAUGGUAGGCAGUUUGACUGGGGCGGUCUCCUCCCAAAGCGUAACGGAGGAGUUCGAAGGUACGCUAGUUACGGUCGGACAUCGUGACGAUAGUGCAAUGGCAUAAGCGUGCUUAACUGCGAGACUGACAAGUCGAGCAGAUGCGAAAGCAGGACAUAGUGAUCCGGUGGUUCUGUAUGGAAGGGCCAUCGCUCAACGGAUAAAAGGUACUCUGGGGAUAACAGGCUGAUACCGCCCAAGAGUUCAUAUCGACGGCGGUGUUUGGCACCUCGAUGUCGGCUCAUCUCAUCCUGGGGCUGUAGCCGGUCCCAAGGGUAUGGCUGUUCGCCAUUUAAAGAGGUACGUGAGCUGGGUUUAAAACGUCGUGAGACAGUUUGGUCCCUAUCUUCCGUGGGCGCUGCAGAUUUGAGGAAGCCUGCUCCUAGUACGAGAGGACCGGAGUGGACACACCUCUGGUGUAUCGGUUGUCACGCCAGUGGCAUUGCCGAGUAGCUAAGUGUGGAAGAGAUAACCGCUGAAAGCAUCUAAGCGGGAAACUCGUUUCAAGAUGAGAUCUGCCGGGGCCUUGAGCCCCCUAAAGAGUCGUUCAAGACCAGGACGUUGAUAGGUCAGGUGUGGAAGCGCAGUAAUGCGUUAAGCUAACUGAUACUAAUUGCUCGUGCGGCUUGACCCC